rnacentral:tRNA from 1 species
GGUUCUAUGGUGUAAUGGUUAUCACUCUGGACUCUGAAUCCAGUGAUCCGAGUUGAAAUCUCGGUAGAACCU